rnacentral:rRNA from 1 species
GAUGAACGCUGGCGGCGUGCUUAACACAUGCAAGUCGAACGGAAAGGCCCAAGCUUGCUUGGGUACUCGAGUGGCGAACGGGUGAGUAACACGUGGGUGAUCUGCCCUGCACUUCGGGAUAAGCCUGGGAAACUGGGUCUAAUACCGGAUAGGACCACUUCUUGGAUGUUGUGGUGGAAAGUUUUUUCGGUGUGGGAUGAGCUCGCGGCCUAUCAGCUUGUUGGUGGGGUAAUGGCCUACCAAGGCGUCGACGGGUAGCCGGCCUGAGAGGGUGUACGGCCACAUUGGGGCUGAGAUACGGCCCAGACUCCUACGGGGGGCAGCAGUGGGGAAUAUUGCACAAUGGGCGCAAGCCUGAUGCAGCGACGCCGCGUGGGGGAUGACGGCCUUCGGGUUGUAAACUCCUUUCGCUAGGGACGAAGCGUUUUGUGACGGUACCUGGAGAAGAAGCACCGGCUAACUACGUG